GGAGCCUCGGAAGAUCUAGGAACUGAGACUGGCGGGAAAACCUGGCUGGGAGUGCCGGCGGCUGAGAGCUGCGGGGCAGCCCCUGUCACGUAGCCCUUCUAGGUUCCUGUGUAUGGCGGAUUCCCUCCAGUUUCUCCCGCUGGCGGGCUGCAUCUAAAGUCGUCCGAGUCAACAGCCGUGACUCUGGGUGAUACUAGCUCUCAUUAACCGUCCACAGAUUUGGGGUGUUAUGUGACUGAAAGGAACGAGGCUGCAGGAAAGCCACAAGAUAACGAUCCGUUUCUGUGUGUCAGCUGUAUUCUUCCUCGAGUAUCUUGUUUGUGUACAUGCUUUUAUUUGCAUUAAGGUUGGUGCAAAAGUAACUGCGGUUUUUGCCAUUUGGCAAAAUACUUUGGAAUGCUCUUCCUUAUUCCCUGGAGAUGUUAUCUUUCAAGGGUCUGUUGUCGUUAACCCCUCAUUGUUAUUAUGAUUGAUUUCUUCCACCAGACUUUGAACUCCAUGAGGGCGCUAAUGUCUUUCUAUGCCCCCAAAACCAAGCAUGGUACCUGACAGAUUAGGCCACUGAGAAAAAAUGGACACUUUCUUUCGAUUUAUCUAUUUCGUCUUUUGAGAGCAUCUUUCCAUAACGAAAUAGUCUGACAUCCACCGGCUAUUUAUAUUCUUUGUAAAAAAGAGACUGGGUGUGGUGGCUCACGCCUGUAAUCCCAGCGCUAUUGGAGGCCGAGGGCGGAGGAUCGCUUGAACCCAGGAGUUUGAGAUCACUAUAUUAUUUUAAUACAGUGGGACCUCGUCGCUACAAUAAUAAUAAGAAUAAGAAUAAGAAUAAGAAUAAUAAAAAAAAAAGGCUGGGCAUGUUGGCAUGGGCCUGUGGUCCCAGCCACUCGGGAAGCUGAUGUGGGAGGAUCUCUUGAGCCAGGGAGAUCGAGGUUGCAGUGAGCCAUGGUCGCGCCGUUGCACUCCAGCCCGCCUGGGCAAUAGAGAUUCUGUUUCAAAAAAAAAAAAAGCCGGGCGCGGUGGCUCACGCUUGUAAUCCCAACACUUUGGAAGGCAGAGGCGGGUGGAUCACGAGGUCAGGAGAUCGGACCAUCCUGGCCAACAUGGUAAAACCCCGUCUCUACUAAAAAUACAAAAAUUAGCCGGGCGUGGUGGCGUGCCUCAGGAGGCUGAGGCAGGAGAAUCGCUUGAACCCGGGAGGCGGAGGUUGCAGUGAGCUGAGAUCGUGCCACUGCACUCCAGCCUGGGCGACAGAGUGCGACUCCAUCUCAAAAAAAAAAAAACAAAAAACAAAGUACUAAAUUGUUCUCCAGAAAUGUUUUACCAACAUAUACUCUCAACAGUAGUAUAUGAGGUUACCUUCUCUAAUUCAUCAACACUGGUUAUUGUCGUAUUUCUGAAAAACACUGUUGAUUUGGUGGACUAAAUUAACAGAUUAAAUUAAUAGAUUGUUCUCUUUCGUUUCUCCAGGACCUAGCACAAUGCGUAGCACAUAUUAAGUGUUUAUAAAUAGUGCUAACUGAUUAAAUAAAUGCUCAUUUAAAAAUUGUCAUAUACUACAUAAACAUUUUGAAAAUUCUUUCCAUAUAUAUCUCUCUAGUCACAUGCCUCACACAGAUGUGUAAUAAAUAUACAAUUUUUAAAAAUAAGAUGAUACUGUUUUUAUUAAUACACUUAAAAAGUUAUAGCUAUCAUAUGUCCAUAAGUAAUGGUCUAUAUUAUUUUCAAUAGUCGCAUAGUAUUUUAUUGUAUGGAAAUAUAAUAAUUUGCUUAAUUAUUAGUGUGCAAUUCAAUUGUUUCCAAGUUAUUGGUAUCAUAAAAAUACUAUAAUGAAUAUUCUUGUACAUACACACCUAUUGUGUGCAUAAUUACCUUACCUGAUGAAGAAUUCAUAGAAGUAGAAUUGUGGGGUCAAAGGGAACUUACAUUUACAGUUAUGAUAAAUAUGGCUGAGUUGCAAAAAAAGUUAUAUCCAUUUAAUAUUCUACGCUGCCUGAGAGUCAGUUUUCUCUGUAUUCUUACCAACACUGGAUAUUAUAAGUACUUUUUACUUUUAUCAAUUUGAUAGGCCAAAAAAGAAAACCUGUUUCUUUAAUUUUUAAUUUUAUUUAUAGUUUUUUAUUACUAGUAAAAAAAUCUUUUGUUGUAUUUCUUGGCUGUUUAUGUUACUUUAGUGGAUUGCCACUUCAUUCCUUUCCUCAUAUUAUUGUGUUAAUCAUUUUCUUACUGACUUGUAGGAGCUUCCUGUAAUUAGGGAUGGUAACCUCUUAUUACUGUGUCACUUUUAUAGAAAGGGCCUUUUGGAUACAAAUAAAAGAAACCCACUGAAUCUAGUUUAAAUAAAAGUUGAAGCACACAUUGUAAAUAUGCAACAGGGAAUCACAUAAAUAUCCAAACAUAAUUUUUUGACUUUUUAAAAAUUUACUGAGAUAUUCCUAGUACCUGAAACAAAGCCUGGCAUAUAGUAGGCACUCACUAAACAUUUGUUGAAUGAAUGAGUGAUAGAUCUAUCACUCCAAACCUGUCCUUCUGAUAAUUAUUUCCUAAGCAAAUAUCUGGGGCUUUGCGAUACAUCCUUUAUUCACAGCAAUUGUCUGUACUCUUCAGAAUGGCUGUUAUCAAAGCUCUACUUGUAGACCAAAAGAAGGGGCAUUUGGUUGACCUUUUUGUUAAGAAUGAAAGUCCCAAGGGCUUAUUAAAGGUUUAUAUGAUUUUCAGCUCCUCUUUGUGUGUUUUGGGGAUUUGGCUCAAGAUACAUCGUUAAAAACAACAACAACAACAACUUUUUUUUUAGAGACAGAGUCUAGCUGUGUAGCCCAGGCUAGAGUACAGUGGCAUGAUCAUAGCUCACUGUAACCUUGAACUCCUGGGCUCAAGCCAUCCUAUUGCCUCAGCCUCCCAAGUAGCUAGGGCUACAGGUGCACACCACCAUACCUGGCUAAUUUUAAAAUUUUUUGUAGAGACAGGGUCCUACUAUGUUGCCCAGGCUGGUCAUGAAUGCCUGGCCUUAAAGUGAUCCUCCCUCCUUGGCCUCCCAAAGUGCUGAAAUUACAGGAGUGAGCCACCAUACUCAGCUCCUCAGCUCUCAGGAUACAUUUUUUUUUUUUUUUUUUAAGACAGGGUAUUUCUCUGUUGCCCAGGCUGGAGUGCAAUGGCACAAUCACUUCAGCCUGGACCUCCUGGGCCCAAGUGAUCCUCCUACCUCAGCCUCCCAAGUAGCUGGGACUACAGGCAAGUACCCCCAUGCCCAGAUAAUUUUAUUUUUUUUGUAGAGACAAGGUCUUACUUUGUUGCCCAGGUUGGUCUCAAACUCCUGGACUCAAGCUAUCCUCCUGCCUGGGCCUCCCAAAGUGCUGGGAUUAUAGGCAUGAGCUACCAUGCCCGGCCUCAAGAUACAUCUUGAGCAUUAAUCAGAAGCUGAAAAACUGAUCAAUAAAGAUAUUUUGUAGGAAGACUAGGUCAGCGAACAUAGUACUACUUCUUUAAAGGUCAUUGGAAGCCAGGCAAAGUGGCUCACACCUGUAAUCCCGACACUUUUUUUUCUCCUGCUAAUGCAGGAGAAUUGCUUAGGGCCAGGAGUUACCAGCCUGAGCAACAUAGCAAGACCCUGUCUCAAAAAAAAAAAAAAAAAAAAAAAAAAAAAUGAAGGGAGGGAGAGAGAGAGGGAGGAAGAAAGGAAGGAAAGAAAAUUAGCCAGGUGUAGUUGUAUGCACCUGUAGUCCCAGCUACUCGAGAGGCUGAGGUGACAGGAUCACAUGAGCCCAGUGUCAGGCCUCUGAGCUCAAGCUAAGCCAUCAUAUCCCCAGUGACCUGCACGUAUACAUCCAGAUGGCCUGAAGCAACUGAAGAUUCACAAAAGAAGUGAAAAUAGCCUUAACUGACGAAGUUCCACCAUUGAUUUAUUUCUGCCCCAACCUAACUGAUCAAUGUACUUUGUAAUCUCCCCCACCCUUAAGAAGGUUCUUUGUAAUUCUCCCCACCCUUGAGAAUGUACUUUGUGAGAUCCACCCCCUGCCCCCAAAACAUUGCUCUUAACUCCACUGCCUAUCCCAAAACCUCUAAGAACUAAUAAUGAUAAUCCACCACCCGUUGCUGACUCUCUUUUUGGACUCAGCCCGUCUGCACCCAGGUGAAAUAAACAGCCAUGUUGCUCACACAAAGCCUGUUUGGUAGUCUCUUCACACGGACACGUAAGACAUUUGGUGCCGAAGACCCGGGUCAGCGGACUCCUUUGGGAGACCAGUCCGCUGUCCUCACCCUCACUCUGUGAAGAGAUCCACCUAUGACCUCGGGUCCUCAGACCAACCAGCCCAAGGAACAUCUCACCGAUUUUAAAUCGGGAGCCCACUGGAAAUCAGACUAUCCAACUUGCCUGGCAGCCACUCCCAGAGCCCCUGGAACUCUGGUCCAAGGCUCUGACUGACUCCUUCCCAGAUCUCGGCUUAGCGGCUGAAGACUGACACUGCCCAAUCUUCUCGGAAGCCUCCUGGACCAUCACACUUACAGUGGAGGACAGGAAGGUCAGGCCUCUGAGCCCAAGCUAAGCCAUCAUAUCCCCAGUGACCUGCACGUAUACAUCCAGAUGGCCUGAAGCAACUGAAGAUCCACAAAAGAAGUGAAAAUAGCCUUAACUGACGAAGUUCCACCAUUGAUUUAUUUCUGCCCCAACCUAACUGAUCAAUGUACUUUGUAAUCUCCCCCACCCUUAAGAAGGUUCUUUGUAAUUCUCCCCACCCUUGAGAAUGUACUUUGUGAGAUCCACCCCCUGCCCCUAAAACAUUGCUCUUAACUCCACUGCCUAUCCCAAAAUCUUUAAGAACUAAUUAAUGAUAAUCCACCACCCGUUGCUGACUCUCUUUUCGGACUCAGCCCGCCUGCACCCAGGUGAAAUAAACAGCCAUGUUGCUCACACAAAGCCUGUUUGGUGUUCUCUUCACACGGACACAUGAGACACCCAGGAGUUCAAGUUUGCAAUGAACUAUGAUCAGCCUGGGUGACAAAGACCCUGUCUCAAAAAAAAAAAAAAAAAAAAUUAAAGGUAAUUGGUA
rnacentral:lncRNA from 1 species